GUGCAGCAGGCGAGAAACCUUCGCAAUGCGCGAAAGCGCGACGAGGGGACUCCGAGUGCCUAUGCUCAGCAUAGGCUGUUCACCGGUGUAAAAAGCCGGUGGAGGAAGGGGUGGACAAGACCGGUGCCAGCCGCCGCGGUAAUACCAGCGCCCCAAGUGGUGAUCGAUAUUAUUGGGUCUAAAACGUCCGUAGCCGGCCCGGUAAAUCUCCGGGUAAAUCGUCCAGCUUAACUGGUCGAAUUCUGGGGGGACUGCCGGGCUUGGGACCGGGAGAGGUCGGAGGUACUCCAGGGGUAGGGGUGAAAUCCUGUAAUCCCAGGGGGACCACCGGUGGCGAAGGCGUCCGACUAGAACGGGUCCGACGGUAAGGGACGAAGGCUAGGGGAGCAAACGGGAUUAGAUACCCCGGUAGU
rnacentral:rRNA from 1 species